rnacentral:lncRNA from 1 species
AUUUAAUGGAAGAAAGCUUAGAUUUUCUAUCCAUAAGUGCAGCCUGUAGGUGUCCUGUAGCGACCAGCAUUCUCCUGUUCCUAUUGAAGUUACCUGCUGCCUCCUGGGAAAGUUUCCCAUCCCAGGACUGCUGCUGCUCACAGUGCCUAACAGCUGAUCUCAGCUUGGGGGACAGAGGAACCUGGGGACAUGGAGAAUGAUUGCUUGCCUUUACCCCCUUGGUGCAGCUUCUCCUGGGUCUUUGCCCUCACCAUGUCAAGGAAUGUUAAUGAUGUGUUCCUUCUCCAUUGCCUUCCCCACCUGUCAUCU